rnacentral:rRNA from 1 species
ACUCCUACGGGAGGCAGCAGUGGGGAAUAUUGCACAAUGGGGGAAACCCUGAUGCAGCCAUGCCGCGUGUGUGAAGAAGGCCUUCGGUUGUAAAGCACUUUCAGUAGGGAGGAAGGUAGUGUAGUUAACACCUGCAUUAUUUGACGUUACCUACAGAAGAAGCACCGGCUAACUCCGUGCCAGCAGCCGCGGUAAUACGGAGGGUGCGAGCGUUAAUCGGAAUUACUGGGCGUAAAGCGCAUGCAGGCGGCCUGUUAAGUCAGAUGUGAAAGCCCGGGGCUUAACCUCGGAAUUGCAUUUGAAACUGGCAGGCUAGAGUCUUGUAGAGGGGGUAGAAGUUUCAGGUGUAGCGGUG